GCUCUCAUAGUUCAAUGGAUAGAACAAGGGACUCCUAAGCCCUAGAUGCAGGUUCGAUUCCUGCUGGGAGCA
rnacentral:tRNA from 1 species